AACAUGAUUUGUACUUCUAGCUCCAGAAAAAGUUGAUUCCUUGGAAGAAAGUUUUCUACAUACUGGUUUGAAGUUUGGUAAAACAAAAGAAAACAAAGAAACAAAUUGUGAUGUAGCAUCAGAGAAAAUUGAGAACAUGUCUGUUCAAGUGAAAAUGGAACAUCCUGAUGAUCUACUAGAAGUUGUUUCAAAGUUCAGUUACAGUGAUGAUGAGAAUCAGGAUAGUUCGUUCUAUAAUGUUAUGAACCUGACAACAGAAACUGAAUUUCAAAGAGAGAUUGAAUCAGGGCUAGAAAGAACAUGUGUUUUUAUGAAUAUCUGGCCACAUUGGUAUUCACCAGAACGAGUCCGUCUGCUCUGGUGCCGUUAUGGCCGUGCCUGUCCCAUACAUGGACAAUGGUCCUGUCUUCAAAGCACAACUAUGUGCCAGUUUGUAGUUGACUUGGGGUGAGCAAUGUCAUAACAAGCUUUUUCAGAUGAAACCUUCUGUUGCUCUUUGGACGUUGGACAAUGUCAUUGGCGAUGAUGACACUGUCCAACUUGAUUGUAUUUUUAAUUUUUUAAGAACAAUUGGCCUUUUUUAAUUGCAUAUAA